rnacentral:misc_RNA from 1 species
GCCGAAGGCAGGGCUGAUGACUGGGGUGAAGUCGUAACAAGGUAGCCGUACCGGAAGGUGUGGCUGGAUCACCUCCUUUUCAGGGAGACCUACUGACUUAGAGAGACAGGAGAGACGAGAGCGUCCAGAGGAGUUUGAAGAAACUCUUGCUCGAGACUCGAGUCACUCAAACCAAAUGGAUACAUCUCCUAAGUUGGUCAUCCCAAGGUCGUUCGGGGAAUAAGUGUUAGGCUUUCAAACUAGAUUGGUUCGGUUCGUGGGCU